AAGAAAAGGUUUAAGUUUUUUUUCCCGAAACCUAAACUUCUUCUCACCCGAACCUUUUCUCCUCUGCUUCUCGCGUGCGACGGCGCCGUUUCUGCCCGAGCGAAGGAAUACGAAGCCCUAGCUUCGUCUCCGGCGGCUGGCGAAGGCCUUCUUCCGGCGAACCUUGCGGAUCCGAGCUCCUCUCGUCGAAGAGAACGCGUGAGCACGGAAGAGAAGCCGAAGUCUUCAUCUCCCCGAAGCCCUAGCUGCCUUCCUCGGCUGUAAGUCCAAGAAAUCGCAUGGUAAGUUGCUACUCACCUGCGGUAAGAGUAGUUCCGAAUUUAAUUUGGAGUUUCCUGGUUUUUGAUUGUUUUUUAGUAUACUGUGAAGUUUUGUUUUGGUGUUUUGGAAUGCGCCGUGAGGAAAUUUCGGGUUUUGCUAGGGGUUUAGUUCUUCUAGUAUUUGAAUUAUACUAUAAGGGUUAUGGUUUAGGGUUUACUGCUAUGGGGUACAAAGGAUCCGAGUUUGAUUGAGUUUCUUUUGAGCUUUCAGAAUAAGUGGUAAGAUUUAGGUGUUUGAAGCUGCUACUGUGAGUUUUAUAAGGAAGAAGAGAAGAGAUUUGAAUGAAUUGAACAUGUAGUUGGCUUCCCAGUUUUAUAAUCUGGUUCCCUUGCCGUGGCACAUAGCAAUCAACCUUUUAACAGCAUGUGCUUAAUAGAAAAUCUGUCAAUGCGCUGCUUAAUAGAACAAUUGAUGUUUGGUUCUUAACAGAAAUCUACCAAUGCGUUUAUUAAGGGCUUACGGUAUCACCCUUUCUAAUAGAUUUUAUUAAAUUGUGCAUGUUCCUAACCUUUAGGAGAUUAUGUGUGGCUAUAGUAGACAGAGACCAAUGCUUAUUUUCUCUUUGCAUUGCUGCUAUAGUAUGCUUUAAGAUUUCAAAUUUUUUUCUGUGCCAUUGGUUUCCUGUAACUAGCGUGCUUUGUUGACCUUGCUUUCAGAUUUUGUGUACAGCUUUGCUUUCAAAUUCCUUUCCGGGAAUUUGAAAGGAUAGCAAGGUUGCUUGAACUUUUCAUUGUAGGUGUUGAGUCCUUCUCCUGUUGGGCAUGGCAUGGGCGGUUAGGUUUAUGGAUUGAAAUAAAGGAAAGGAAAAGAUCUAGCAAGGAAUGUGACAAGGUGGUGCGAAUGGUGUGUGAUGCCAGGACUAUGGAAGUCUUGGAGCUAGAAAAGAGUUCUUUUAGUUUUCUUUCUUUAUUACUAAGUUUUCCAUGUUUUAGUGGAUUGUAAACAUUUGAGAUUGUACUUUAUAGUUCAUGUCAUGUGAGUUUAUCUU